rnacentral:tRNA from 1 species
GGGGAUAUGGCUCAGUUGGUAGAGUGCUUGCUUAGCAUGCACGAAUCCCUGGGUUCAAUCCGUAGCACCA